GGGCCCGCACAAGCGGUGGAGCAUGUGGUUUAAUUCGAUGCAACGCGAAGAACCUUACCUACUCUUGACAUCCAGAGAAUUCGCUAGAGAUAGCUUAGUGCCUUCGGGAACUCUGAGACAGGUGCUGCAUGGCUGUCGUCAGCUCGUGUUGUGAAAUGUUGGGUUAAGUCCCGCAACGAGCGCAACCCUUAUCCUUGUUUGCCAGCACGUAAUGGUGGGAACUCCAGGGAGACUGCCGGUGAUAAACCGGAGGAAGGUGGGGACGACGUCAAGUCAUCAUGGCCCUUACGAGUAGGGCUACACACGUGCUACAAUGGCGUAUACAGAGGGCUGCCAACCAGCGAUGGUGAGCGAAUCCCAGAAAGUACGUCGUAGUCCGGAUUGGAGUCUGCAACUCGACUCCAUGAAGUCGGAAUCGCUAGUAA
rnacentral:rRNA from 1 species